GUGAGCCAUGGGGAACUGCACCAGUGGAUCAAACACAGGCAGAGGAGGCACAUUGAGGAGAAUGUGCUGAAGCACCGGAAGGAGUACGACCAGAACAAGGAUGGGAAGAUCGGCUGGGAGGAAUACAAAAACACCACCUACGGCUACUACCUGGUUACGACAAGGGAGGGUAGCCUAACUUUGAGGCAAAUGAGCGAGGGGGUUGUGAUUUUAAAAAGAUGACAAGGCGAGCUACAAGGCCAUGCUGACUAGAGACGAGAGGCUCUUUAGGACAGCUGACCGCGACGGGGACGGCAUCGCCACCAAGGUCUAGUUCACCGCCUUCCUUCACCCUGAGGAGUACGACCACAUGAAGACCGUUGUCAUACAGGAAACAGUAGAAGACAUUGACAAGAACGGUGAUAGAAAGAUCACCUUUGACGAAUACAUUGGCUCGUCUCUCCUUCAACCGACUACCGUCUUCCGUGGUCCUUCUGUAGCUCAGUUGGUAGAGCAUGGCGCUUGUAACGCCAGGGUAGUGGGUUCGAUUCCCGGGACCACCCAUACGUAGAAUGUAUGCACACAUGACUGUAAGUCGCUUUGGAUAAAAGCGUCUGCUAAAUGGCAUAUAUUAUUAUUAUUAUAUUAUUAUAUAUUAUAGAUAAAAUGCAAUAUGUCA